rnacentral:rRNA from 1 species
GAAUAUUGGGCAAUGGGCGCAAGCCUGACCCAGCGACGCCGCGUGGGGGACGAAGGCCUUCGGGUCGUAAACCCUUGUCAUAGGGGAAGAUGGGUGUAUAUGCUAAUACCAUAUACACUUGACUGUACCCUAAGAGGAAGCCCCGGCUAACUCCGUGCCGGACGCCGCGGUAAUACGGAGGGGGCAAGCGUUGCUCGGAAUUACUGGGCGUAAAGGGUCCGCAGGUUGUUUUGUAAGUUAGAUGUGAAAGCUCAGGGCUUAACCCGGAAAUUGCAUCUAAAACUGCAAAACUUGAGUAUAGGAGAGGUUGGCGGAAUUCCCGGUGUAGCGGUGAAAUGCGUAGACAUCGGGAGGAACACCAGCGGCGAAGGCGGCUAACUGGCCUAGUACUGACACUCAUGGACGAAAGCGUGGGUAGCGAACCGG